rnacentral:rRNA from 1 species
CUGGGCGUAAGGGUCCGUAGGCGGUGCGGUAAGUCGGGAGUGAAAUCUCUGGGCUUAACUCAGAGGCUGCUUCCGAAACUACCGUGCUAGAGUGCGAGAGAGGCAAGUGGAAUUGCGGGUGUAGCGGUGAAAUGCGUAGAUAUCCGCAGGAACAUCCGAGGCGAAAGCGGCUUGCUGGAUCGCAACUGACGCUGAGGGACGAAAGCUAGGGGAGCAAACAGGAUUAGAUACCCUGGUAGUCCUAGCCCUAAACCAUCAGGACUUGGGGUUUGCCCUGUACGGGGCAAGUCCCGGAGCUAACGCGUUAAGUCCUGCGCCUGGGGAGUACGGUCGCAAGACUGAAACUCAAAGGAAUUGACGGGGGCCCGCACAAGCGGUGGAACAUGUGGUUCAAUUCGACGCAACGCGAAGAACCUUACCUGGGCUUGAACCGCACAGGACCCUCCCUGGAAACAGGGACUUCCCGCAAGGGACCUGUGUAGAGGUGCUGCAUGGCUGUCGUCAGCUCGUGCCGUGAGGUGUUGGGUUAAGUCCCGCAACGAGCGCAACCCUUACUCAUAGUUGCUACCCGCAAGGGAGAACUCUAUGAGGACUGCUCCGGAUAACGGAGAGGAAGGUGGGGAUGAGGUC